GCGCCGCUGUUUAAACUUCAACGGUUCACGGUGGGCUGACUGCGCUCAGCGCUCGGGAGAACGACGAUUACAUUGGUAAGUGAGAAUAUUAAUAAAUUUUAGCUUAUUUUAAUUAAUUUUAAAUAAACCCUUGUCAUUUUUAGUUAGCAACCCGUUUCUUUCAAGAAGUUAAAAGAAGAAAGGUGGUUUAUCGCGUUGUCCAGGCCCACGCAAUUCUCCGGUUUGUCAUUUUUAACAUUAAUCCCUAAAGUAUCUUGAUAAAACUGUUGUGAAUUGAUCAAUAAUGCUGGCGAGAGUUCAUGUUAUAGCCUAACAUAAUAUUUUUUGCCCUUUAGAUUGGACCUAUACAUAUACAGGAAAAGAUCUAACGUAAUCGCCGUCAGACUGCCGUUAUAAACAUGAAUUCAAACCAAGAAGAACAAAGAGAGAAGCAGCUGAUGGAGAUGUUUCCAUUUUUUCUGCUGAUAACUAUGUUCAUCUAUCCCAGAGAGCACUGUUAAAGUUUUAGCUCCACCUUAUCAGAGAGCUGAAAAGUGGGAGUCAGAGGAAACAUGACCAACCUGCUGCAAAACAAUAACACAAAAGGUCUGGACUGGAGUGCAACAUUACUUGUUUGGUCAUCUACAUUCAGAUGAAAACACCACACUUCUCUCUAAUUCAAGAUGUCAAGCCUACUCAACGCAAAGAGAGUUAGCAUCAAAAUGGAUGCGUCACCGACCAAUAACACAGAGAUGCCAGAAGUGUCUGUUUGCAGUCUACUUUUUGUUCAGUAUGGAGCAUCCAAAAUCCAUCACUCAGUUAAUUUCAGUCAUUACUAUUUAGCCCUUCCCAGUGCUGAAAUUGUCCUGGGUCCUUUGUUUUUAUUGUUUAAAUUCUUAUCUGAAUGUAAAAUUAAUAUUUAAUGCUUAUAAAUAAAUAAUAAAAAACAAUACUAUGGUUAGUCUUUUAGCUCCCUUUUCAGAAACGUGGUUCACCAUUUUUCAUGGGUUACAGAACUGGGGAAAGUUGCAGCAUACAAAAAAAAGUCAGACUACUUGGUUUAUAGGAGAAUAUGGAGUAAAUAUACUUGACAUUUAUUUAAGGUAAAGGGUAACGACCUGGUGGUGAGAUGCAAAAUAAGAUUGUCAUUAAUAUACUGUUUGAUGACAAACUUUUCACACUCUAAUUUUACUUAUGUAUUUAAUUUUUGUGCAAGUUAACAUUCAAUUUUUUUGGGGGGUGGUGGUUUCUAGCAAUCAACAUAUAUUUGUGACUGACAUGUUGGAUGGGUGAGUAAGGUGGAGGGGGUUGAAAAAACAAUAUUUCUAAAAUGGAGAGUGCUAUUUUAGGUUGACAGGUAAAAAUAUAUAUAAAUAAAGAAACAUGGAUUUAUGUUAAUCCCUGUAACUGUUACACUAUGAAUUGCUCUGUUAUAUAUUGCUUGUCAUUGUAAAUGCUAAUA